rnacentral:rRNA from 1 species
CUACGGGUGGCUCCAGUAAGGAAUAUUGCGCAAUGGAGGCAACUCUGACGCAGCCAUGCCGCGUGCAGGAAGAAGGCCUUAUGGGUCGUAAACUGCUUUUAUUUAGGAAUAACCCCCUGCUCGUGAGCAGGGCUGAAGGUACUAAAAGAAUAAGCACCGGCUAACUCCGUGCCAGCAGCCGCGGUAAUACGGAGGGUGCAAGCGUUAUCCGGAUUUAUUGGGUUUAAAGGGUGCGCAGGCGGGCUAUUAAGUCAGUGGUGAAAUCCCGGGGCUCAACUCCGGAACUGCCAUUGAUACUGAUAGUCUUGAGUUUGGUUGAAGUGGGCGGAAUGUAGCAUGUAGCGGUGAAAUGCAUAGAUAUGCUACAGAACACCAAUCGCGAAGGCAGCUCACUAAGCCAAAACUGACGCUCAUGCACGAAAGCGUGGGGAUCAAACAGGAUUAGAUACCCUGGUAGUC